rnacentral:rRNA from 1 species
GGUUCAUUCAAAUUUCUGCCCUAUCAACUUUCGAUGGUAAGGUAUUGGCUUACCAUGGUUUCAACGGGUAACGGGGAAUUAGGGUUCGAUUCCGGAGAGGGAGCCUGAGAAACGGCUACCACAUCCAAGGAAGGCAGCAGGCGCGCAAAUUACCCAAUCCCGACCGGGGAGGUAGUGACAAUAAAUACUGAUACAGGGCUCUUUUGGGUCUUGUAAUUGGAAUGAGUACAAUUUAAACCUCUUGACGAGGAACAAUUGGAGGGCAAGUCUGGUGCCAGCAGCCGCGGUAAUUCCAGCUCCAAUAGCGUAUAUUAAAGUUGUUGCAGUUAAAAAGCUCGUAGUUG